UGAAUUACGGUUAUGUUUUUAAAUUUAUUCGUAUAAAAAGACUUAAAUUUGUUUAAAAUUCAUCAGUUGUAGUUCUGUUUUAUUCCUACCCUGUCACCCUCAAAAAGAUAAUGUUGUCCAACUUUACGACCCUCGUGACCAUUUUACUAUUGGCUACGCCAAUAUUUGCCGCUCCAACUUAUCUGGACCACGCAAUCGCUCCGGUACAUGUGACCACAGCUGUGGUUGGCCACCUCCCCACCACAAUUUCCCAACAACACAAUCACGUGAUCCACCAUGCCGCGGUGGUACAACCGGUGGUGCACGUACCGGUGGUACACCAGACUCCGGUCGUUGUUGCUACUCAUCAUGGUUAUGGACAUCAUGGGCAUUAUUAAGUAGUUUUGUAAAACGACGGUUGAAAAUAGAAUUUGGUUUUAAAUGAAAUUUUGGUUGUUUUGUUGUUAUUCUAGUUUUAUGUGGACCCAACAUUAGCAUAUGUGACAAGGACCAAACUAUGUCCAAGCCUCCUUGACUAAAAAUUGACUUGUUCUUACAUAGUCAUGCCACGUAGUUUGACAUGGUUAAA